rnacentral:rRNA from 1 species
GACGAACGCUGGCGGCGUGCCUAAUACAUGCAAGUCGAGCGGAACUGGGGGAGCUUGCUCCUUCCAGUUUAGCGGCGGACGGGUGAGUAACACGUGGGCAACCUGCCCUGCAGAUCGGGAUAACUCCGGGAAGCCGGUGCUAAUACCGAAUAGUUUGGCGCCUCUCCUGAGGCGCUACGGAAAGACGGUUUCGGCUGGCACUGCAGGAUGGGGCCGCGGCGCAUUAGCUAGUUGGUGGGGUAACGGCCCACCAAGGCGACGAUGCGUAGCCGACCUGAGAGGGUGACCGGCCACACUGGGACUGAGACACGGCCCAGACUCCUACGGGAGGCAGCAGUAGGGAAUCUUCCGCAAUGGACGCAAGUCUGACGGAGCAACGCCGCGUGAGUGACGAAGGUUUUCGGAUCGUAAAACUCUGUUGUGAGGGAAGAACACGUACCAACUAACUAUUGGUACCUUGACGGUACCUCACCAGAAAGCCACGGCUAACUACGUGCCAGCCGCCGCAGUAA